rnacentral:lncRNA from 1 species
CUUGUUGUGGGCGAUAAGUGACGAAAUAAAAUUAAGCUAGCUGGCCGAGUAAGAUUUGUUUUAGGGGUACGUGGAUGGCGGACCCAAAAUCGAGUUUGUAGGACAUCUCGAAUGGAAAGCCUAUUUGAUGAGACCCUAGCAUGCCCUAGAAGUGAGGAAAUGGGUGGACCAUAUUGCAACGAACUUUCAUAAAGGAAUCAAAGAAACAUUAGAUUUGGAUUACCGGGCAGGCUACUAAAUUUUUCUGGCGUUAGUUAUUAAGAAAAAGGGUUUACUGUAAUAUGGAAUGGUCAAUUGUGAUAGGGAUGGGCCUAUUUAUAGUGGCACGAUAGAUGGUCAGUGUCGUCUUUUAGAUAUCGUAGAAAUCUUCUCCAAAAAAGAACAGAAAGAAAGAAAAAUUAUAGAAAUCUUGGACUACUCCAAAUAUUCGAUACGUUUCAACUUUGCCUGCUUUUUGUGCACGAUCCUAUAGGCUAUAGAUAUCGUCUUUUCUGAAGGAGAAGCAACACUGGACUACGUCACUGACACUAAUGACGGAAAUAAAAUCAUGGUCGACAUUCAUUGCUUCAUGUUAAAAUCAUCACUCGUUCUAAAAACUUAUGCUUAUAGAAUAAGAUAAAUUUAUUUAUAUCUUUUAUAUUUUUUUAGACUCUGAAAUUUAUGAUGCUGUAUUUAAGGAUAUCAAUUUUUCGCUCUACAUUUUUAAG